rnacentral:rRNA from 1 species
GUUUGAUCCUGGCUCAGAACGAACGCUGGCGGCGUGGAUAAGACAUGCAAGUCGAGCGGGAUUUCUUUUGGUAGCAAUACCGAAGGAAAUUCAGCGGCGAACGGGUGCGUAACACGUGGGCAAUCUGUCUUAAAGUGGGGGAUAGCUCGGCGAAAGCCGAAUUAAUACCGCAUGUGAUCAGGGAAGACAUCUUUCCGAAAUCAAAGGUGGCGCAAGCUACCGCUUUUUGAGGGGCCCGCGGCCUAUCAGCUUGUUGGUGAGGUAACGGCUCACCAAGGCGUUGACGGGUAGCUGGUCUGAGAGGACGACCAGUCACACUGGGACUGAGACACGGCCCAGACACCUACGGGUGGCAGCAGUCGAGAAUUUUUGACAAUGGGGGAAACCCUGAUCGAGCGACGCCGCGUGGAGGAUGAAGGUCUUCGGGUUGUAAACUCCUGUCAUUUGGGAACAAGGCGUAUGUAUUAAC